UUAAGGAUUAUGUACCCUUGUGGUGAUUCAAUGCUAAACAUAUGGAAAUUUUAUAGAAAAUCCACAGCCUUUAUCCUUGUACUCUCAUAUUUGGCAAUUUGAUGACUGAUAGAUAUAGGAUUAUUGCAUGCAGUGCUAGCAUUGAUUUCCUAAAAACAAGUUUAUUAAUGUAGUUAUUGGUUAAAACAAAUAAAAAUAUGGACCAAAUCAAGUACACCUUUAAGGGUGCGCUCGAAUUUAGUGACUCAGCACGAGGUAUUUUGGAAUUUACAAGUUAGUUACAACAUUUUGUAGAAAAUGAACACUAGCA
rnacentral:lncRNA from 1 species